rnacentral:tRNA from 1 species
GCCGAAGUGGCGAAAUCGGUAGACGCACCAGACUCAAAAUCUGGCGUAGCUCACCCUACGUGCCGGUUCGAGUCCGGCCUUCGGCA